CUGCCAUAUCGCGAUGAAGCAUCAACUCUCUUGUGAUUACCGAAGUUAAGCAACGUUGAGCCUGGCUAGUACUUAGAUGGGCAACUGCUUAGGAAUACCAAGCGCUGUAAG